rnacentral:miRNA from 1 species
AAAUACAAAUUCAUGGGGCUCACCCCCAGAAAUUGGGAUUUAGUACCUCUUUGGUGGAGUCCAGGAAUCUGCAUUUUUAGCAAUUGUCCCAAGGGAUUCUAAUACAAGUGG